rnacentral:rRNA from 1 species
GAUGAACGCUAGCGGGAGGCUUAACACAUGCAAGUCGUGGGGCAGCACGGUGUAGCAAUACACUGGUGGCGACCGGCGCACGGGUGAGUAACGCGUAUGCAACCUGCCCUGUACAGGGGGAUAGCCCGGAGAAAUUCGGAUUAAUACCCCAUAAAGAUAUUGAGAGGCAUCUUUUAAUAUUUAAAGCUUCGGCGGUACGGGAUGGGCAUGCGUGACAUUAGCUAGUUGGUAGUGUAGCGGCCUACCAAGGCUUCGAUGUCUAGGGGUCCUGAGAGGGUGAUCCCCCACACUGGUACUGAGACACGGACCAGACUCCUACGGGAGGCAGCAGUGAGGAAUAUUGGUCAAUGGGCGACAGCCUGAACCAGCCAUCCCGCGUGAAGGAAGAAGGCGCUAUGCGUUGUAAACUUCUUUUCCAGAAGAAUAAAAUUUUGUAUGAGUACGGAACUGAAGGUACUCUGGGAAUAAGCAUCGGCUAACUCCGUGCCAGCAGCCGCCGUAACAC